UUAUUCAUUCCCCUGGGAAAUUUGCCCUUAAAGUUACUCUUAUUUAACCAGCAAGUAUUUUUUUUGACGGGAAAUGACAUAGGUGUCUCCCAAAAGAUAAUAAGACAAUGUGCAAGAGGCAUUAUUGUGGAAAAAAAACAUUUCUCAGCUUUUAUUUACAUUUGAG